rnacentral:rRNA from 1 species
AAAUUUAAGGUCUAACCUGCCCACUGAAAUUUUAAAUGGCCGUGGUAUUUUGACCGUGCUAAGAUAGCAUAAUCAUUAGUUUUUUAAUUAAAAACUGGAAUGAAAGGUUGAAUAAAAAAAUAGCUGUCUCUGUUAAAUUUAAGUAGAAUUUUAUUUUUAAGUUAAAAAGCUUAAAUAAUAUUAAAAGACGAGAAGACCCUAUAGAGUUUAAUUUUUUAAUAAAAAUUAUAUUUUAGUAUUUAUUUAUUUAUUUUAUUGGAAAAUUUAAUUGGGGUGAUUGAAAAAUUUAAUUAACUUUUUUUAUUUAAAAACAUUAAUUUAUGAGUAUAUGAUCCAAUAUUUUUGAUUAUAAGAUAAAAUUACCUUAGGGAUAACAGCGUAAUUUUUUUAUAAAGUUCAUAUUAAAAAAAAAGAUUGCGACCUCGAUGUUGGAUUAAAAUAAAUUUUUGGUGUAGAAGCUAAAAUAUUAGGUCUGUUCGACCUUUAAAAUUUUA